GCCGCGUUUAAGAUUCCUCUUUUCAUGCAAACAUGACCUGGUUUCUGUCUGAGUGAGUGCAGCUAAACAUCCAAAUAAGAUCUGUUGCAUUCAGAGUUUAUUCCAAACUUUUUUUUUCCCUUCCAGCAAGUAAUCUCCAGCAGCGUUAGCCAACAAUUCAUCUAUUAAUAUCAGAAAAUGAGAACCAGCGACUAAGGUGCAGCAAGCUGUUCCAGUGAGCUGCAGCGUCCAUCACUUCACAGGCCUCUAUUUGCAUUGUAAAUUGCUUCGUUCUCACGUAAGAUUCUUUAGCCUUCCUCUACUGAGAUGUAUAAAGCAGUCGGCAGUUUCCAGCGCUGGUAAAAGAGGAAGAGGGGGAAAAUCCCAUUCUAUAGAAGUGACAGCUGAUUCAAAGAUCUGCGCCGGAUCAUUGGGUUAGGCAUCAUGAGCUUUUUACCAAGUGCUGGCAGCUUGAUUGCACAUAUCUUGUAUGUGAAUGUUUUAGGGGGAGAUCCUCGAUUUCUCAGGACUUCUAGGCUGGGGAGAAGAUGCUGUCUUGCUGGAGUACUGCUGCCCCCGGUCUGAAAGAAGGAGAAAAGGGCCAUCAUUGGAGGGGCUUUCACUGCCAAAUUGUGGACCAGCCCGGCAAGGUCAAAGGUUUGAGACCGCGGGAGACCAAGCUUGGAAAGAAGAGACUUAAGAAACAUUAGGGAUUUGAACCUUGUAACCUGCCAUACAAAAGAGAAGAGACAGCCCCACCAUGCAAG
rnacentral:lncRNA from 1 species